rnacentral:misc_RNA from 1 species
GAAUUCUCAAAAACCCCUGGGUUUUUGGAUCUGUUGGAGGGCUUUUGUGGGCCAUCUUGAGUGAAAGCGGCCUGCUCCUCUGAAAUGCAUUAGUGAGGGCCAGCAUUGAUGCAUAUGCCUGUCGUCAGCAUGAUAUAGUUCUUGUCUCCUUGCUUGUACAUGAUCUGCUGAUGAGAGCCGACUUGUACUGUAACCCUGUCCCCUCACACAACUCUUUGACCA